GGCCAGCAUAGGGUAGUGGUUUGAGUGCUGGACUAGGACUCUGGGAGACUAGGAUUCAAAUCCCUGUUUGGCCA